AAGACCUUGCGCUUUUGGAGCGGCCGAUGCCUGAUUAGCUAGUUGGUGGGGUAAUGGCCUACCAAAGCUUCGAUCAGUAGCUGGUCUGAGAGGACGGCCAGCCACACUGGGACUGAGACACGGCCCAGACUCCUACGGGAGGCAGCAGUAGGGAAUUUUGGACAAUGGGCGCAAGCCUGAUCCAGCCAUGCCGCGUGAGUGAAGAAGGCCUUCGGGUUGUAAAGCUCUUUCAGCCGGGAAGAAAAGGUUGCGAUUAAUAAUCGCAAUUUAUGACGGUACCGGAAGAAGAAGCACCGGCUAACUACGUGCCAGCAGCCGCGGUAAUACGUAGGGUGCGAGCGUUAAUCGGAAUUACUGGGCGUAAAGGGUGCGCAGGCGGUUUUGUAAGUCAGAUGUGAAAUCCCCGGGCUUAACCUGGGAACU
rnacentral:rRNA from 1 species